GGGAGAGAAGGACGGCUCAGUCUACUCCGAGGUAUUACACCGGGAGGAGGGACAGGAUGGCGGAGGGACGCACUACGCUGUUUUUCCUGCUGGGGGCGCUGGUGGGGGUCGUCAUGCCCUCCCCCAUCCCUGCCCCCCACCUCAACGAGGUGGUGAGGGGGGACUCGCCUCUACACAACACCCUGGCGCGCCUCGACAACCUGCUGGAGCGACGGAGCGAGUACAACGACGUGAUGGAGGAGUCCGGGGAGGAGGAUGACGCCCUCUCCAGGGUUUUGUAUCAGCUUCAGGAAGGAGAACUAGAUGGCAACACUGACUUGGCAAGCAAGGUGAUGACUAGACUUCUGGGCGCCUUGAGGAGAGCCGAAGGAGAGGACGUGAUACGAAGUCGUGUUACCCGAAUGGCGAAGAGAAGCCGCAGCAGAGAGAGCGGACGAAGCAAGGAAAAGAAGUGCAAAAGAAAACGAAAUCGCAACAGGGGACGCCGCCCACGACCCAGCAAGGAAAGACGACGACCAAGUAGGGAGCGACGACCACGACCGAGCCAGGAACGGUGCGUGGAUGAUGAAACGACUUCGACGACUACAACUCCUACUACUAGGCCUACUUCUACUACGACUACCCCAUCUACGAAUACAACGACUACUGCUCGAACAACCACUUCAUCUACUACUCCAUCUACUGCUAGGACUACUACUACGACAACAACUCCAACUUCUAAUUCUACCUCUACUACUGCUGCGACUACCACUACCACCCGUAGGACACCAGCUCUCUAAUAAACAAACCACCACCACUACUACUACUACUACUACUACUACUACUACUACUACUACUACUACUACUACUACUACUACUUUUACUACUUCUUGUCACUUACGAACGCUUACGACAAUUAAUGUAAACUGGACGCAAGACCUUGAGUGUUCCAAAAUUAAUUCAACAUAAAAAAAAAAACCUGGACUAGCUUUUCCAUUUACGUAAACAGACAAAAACCUGAAUAAACACUAACAAAGGAAUAUAUAAUGAUAAUAAUAAUGGUAAGUGAACUAGCAAUGGGUGUAGAGUGAGUCACAAAUACAUGUUGGGUUUGCAAAAUUUCAUGGCGAAUAAACUUUAAUGUUCUGGA